rnacentral:rRNA from 1 species
CCCUUAGAUGUUCUGGGCCGCACGCGCGCUACACUGACGGAUUCAACGAGCUUACAACCUUGGCCGAAAGGUCUGGGUAAUCUCCAAAAUCCGUCGUGAUGGGGAUAGAUUAUUGCAAUUAUUAAUCUUCAACGAGGAAUGCCUAGUAAGCGCAAGUCAUCAGCUUGCGUUGAUUACGUCCCUGCUCUUUGUACACACCGCCCGUCACUCCUACCGAUUGAAUGGUCCGGUGAAGCGUUUGGACUAUGGUUUUCUGAUGGUCCGCCGUUGGAUUACCGUGGGAAGUUCGUUAAACCUUAUCAUUUAGAGGAAGGAGAAGUCGUAACA